GGAGGGGAGGCUGCCAGGGCCGCGGUGCUUGGGAGGCACAGCGAAUCCCCGCUGCUGCCGGCGUUGCUUCUCCCCGCGCUAGCCACCAGGACCUCUCUGGAAGGGGAAGGCCUGUCGAGGCUCAUAGUGCAGGUUCCAAUUCCUGAAACUGAAUCUAAGUGAAGCCCCAGGCUCUUCUGUGCUUAUAUACAGGAUCCCUUCUCAUAAAAGCCUGCACCUUCUAAAGAGACCCUUUGCCUCGCUCUUUCCCUGCCUCACCAACACAGAAACGAGAAGAGAUCUGAAGCUGUUGGCUUACCUGUAGC